rnacentral:rRNA from 1 species
AUUGAACGCUGGCGGCAUGCCUUACACAUGCAAGUCGAACGGCAGCACGGGGCAACCUGGUGGCGAGUGGCGAACGGGUGAGUAAUGCAUCGGAACGUACCUUUCAGUGGGGGAUAACGUAGCGAAAGUUACGCUAAUACCGCAUAUUCUGUGAGCAGGAAAGCAGGGGAUCGCAAGACCUUGCGCUGAUUGAGCGGCCGAUGUCAGAUUAGCUAGUUGGUGAGGUAAAGGCUCACCAAGGCGACGAUCUGUAGCGGGUCUGAGAGGAUGAUCCGCCAGACUGGAACUGAGACACGGUCCAGCCUCCUACGGGAAGCAGCAGUGGGGAAUUUUGGACAAUGGGGGCAACCCUGAUCCAGCCAUGCCGCGUGAGUGAAGAAGGCCUUCGGGUUGUAAAGCUCUUUCGGCCGGGAAGAAAUCGCACGGGCUAAUACCCUGUGUGGAUGACGGUACCGGAAUAAGAAGCACCGGCUAACUACGUGCCAGCAGCCGCGGUAA